ACUCUGCAUGGUCAAAGUCCCCUGGAGGUGUCUCAGGACCAGGAUUUGAGGGCAGGCACAAGAUGCUUCUGAAGAACUCCCCAGGGUUGCGCAGAGUAUAGAGAGGGUCCUGAAUGGCUCACCAGAGGGUCUGAGAGGGCUCUAGGGCAGCGGGCCCCAAAGUCCCCUGAAGGCUUCAGUGCUCACACUUUGUCUCUUUGGACCUGUUGGAAUUUUCUAUGGAAAGAAUGUUCCUGGGGGAGAUGGAGACACAGGAUCAUCUCAGAAAACACGGAGGAAACAUGUAAAGUUCUUUAUUAUCUUAGGGGGGUUAGUGAUGAGUACUGUAAUUGAUAGUCUUCCUUUUCAGUCCAAUUUUAAUUUUUGUGCAGUAUGUUAAGCCACUAAAAAUACCUUUGUUUUCUCUGAAACCCGUGAUGCUUUUUCAGAUUUUGGGGGGUUGUUUUUACAGUAUUGCCACCAAACCCAGGGCCGUGCCCAGGCUAGGCAAGCACCCUGCCAUGAGCCACACCCACAGCCCCUCAUGAAUCUUAUGUUGCUGUUGAUUAUGUGGAGUAGAUGAGAGUUGGGGUGCUGUGGAGGAGAGGAGUGGAGGGAUGGGCCCACUCUCUUCACCUGUGUGACAGAUCUUGAGGUCUUCCUUGCCGAGGGCUCCUGGGAGCAUAGUCUCAAGCCAUGGAUGGGUGUCAUUGCCCAAAGAAUGCCUUUUCCCUGUCCCUUGCUCCCUGCUUUCUUUUUCCCAUAGGAUCUUCUACUCCAAUGCAGUGAAAUGUGAUGGGCCUGGAAUCAUUUUCUCUAACCUCCUGGAGAUGAUCUUGAGUGGACGGCCACUCCUCCAGCACAUGUGUAUUCUGCGCACCUUGACUGACACCCGCUGCGAGGCAGGAGCCCUGUCCUCUCGUGGGAAAUAGAGUCUGGCCCAGAUGUCCUCCGCAGCUCUCUCGGGCUCAUCCUUUCGUCUCCAUUUCCUCUGCUACAACCCAAGGCCCGUGCCCUCAUUGCCACCACCUGGAUUCUUUAGACACACCCAGAGGCUUCCUCACCCUCACCCCCCCAUUCUAGGGGGUGAGCGGCUUUGCUCUGCCAUAUGCGCUCUGCUAUAUGCUCUUUGCCAUUGUCAUCCAGUGCCCCUCCAGCAGCCUAAAACUACUGGAUCUUCUGGAUCAUGCCCUGGAACCUCCCCAAAUUGUGUG